UACAGAGGUCCCAAGCGUUGUUCGGAUUCAUUGGCGUAAAGGGUGUGUAGGUGGCGCCGUAAGUCGGGUGUGAAAUUCGGAGCUUAACUCCGAACUGCAUUCGAUACUGCGUGCUUGAGGACUGGAGAGGAGACUGGAAUUCAUGGUGUAGCAGUGAAAUGCGUAGAGAUCAUGAGGAAGACCAGUGGCGAAGGCGGUCUCUGGACAGUCCUGACACUGAGACACGAAGGCCAGGGAGCAAACGGG
rnacentral:rRNA from 1 species